ACUUAAUGGACAUUCGCAGGUGUUACCACGAUGCUGUUGUUAACACGAUGCUGUUGUUAACUUAAUGGACAUUCGCAGGUGUUACCACGAUGCUGUUGUUAACACGAUGCUGUUGUUAACUUAAUGGACAUUCGCAGGUGUUACCACGAUGCUGUUGUUAACACGAUGCUGUUGUUAACUUAAUGGACAUUCGCAGGUGUUACCACGAUGCUGUUGUUAACACGAUGCUGUUGUUAACUUAAUGGACAUUCGCAGGUGUUAACACGAUGCUGUUGUUAACUUAAUGGACAUUCGCAGGUGUUAACACGAUGCUGUUGUUAACUUAAUGGACAUUCGCAGGUGUUACCACGAUGCUGUUGUUAACACGAUGCUGUUGUUAACUUAAUGGACAUUCGCAGGUGUUACCACGAUGCUGUUGUUAACACGAUGCUGUUGUUAACUUAAUGGACAUUCGCAGGUGUUAACACGAUGCUGUUGUUAACUUAAUGGACAUUCGCAGGUGUUAACACGAUGCUGUUGUUAACUUAAUGGACAUUCGCAGGUGUUAACACGAUGCUGUUGUUAACUUAAUGGACAUUCGCAGGUGUUAACACGAUGCUGUUGUUAACUUAAUGGACAUUCGCAGGUGUUAACACGAUGCUGUUGUUAACUUAAUGGACAUUCGCAGGUGUUAACACGAUGCUGUUGUUAACUUAAUGGACAUUCGCAGGUGUUAACACGAUGCUG